rnacentral:rRNA from 1 species
UACGGGGGGAGCAAGCGUUGUUCGGAUUUACUGGGCGUAAAGGGCGCGUAGGCGGCGCAACAAGUCACUUGUGAAAUCUCCGGGCUUAACCCGGAGCGGCCAAGUGAUACUGUCGUGCUAGAGUGCGGAAGGGGCUACUGGAAUUCUCGGUGUAGCGGUGAAAUGCGUAGAUAUCGAGAGGAACACCUGCGGCGAAGGCGGGUCUCUGGCCCGGUACUGACGCUGAGGCGCGAAAGCGUGGGGAGCAAACAGG